GCUGGCGUAGCUCAACUGGCAGAGCAACGGAUUUGUAAUCCGUAGGUUCGGGGUUCGAUUCCCCGCGCCAGCUCCA
rnacentral:tRNA from 1 species